rnacentral:rRNA from 1 species
GGGCCCGCACAAGCGGUGGAGCAUGUGGUUCAAUUCGAAGCAACGCGAAGAACCUUACCAGCUUUUGACAUGUCCCGUAUGAGAAACAGAAAUGUAUCUCUUCACUUCGGGUGGCGGGAACACAGGUGCUGCAUGGCUGUCGUCAGCUCGUGUCGUGAGAUGUUGGGUUAAGUCCCGCAACGAGCGCAACCCUCGCCCUUAGUUGCCAUCAUUCAGUUGGGCACUCUAAGGGGACUGCCGGUGAUAAGCCGCGAGGAAGGUGGGGAUGACGUCAAGUCCUCAUGGCCCUUACAGGCUGGGCUACACACGUGCUACAAUGGCGGUGACAAUGGGAUGCGAUGGCGCGAGCCUGAGCAAAUCUCAAAAAGCCGUCUCAGUUCGGAUUGCACUCUGCAACUCGAGUGCAUGAAGUUGGAAUCGCUAGUAAUCGCGGAUCAGCACGCCGCGGUGAAUACGUUCCCGGGCCUU